rnacentral:rRNA from 1 species
CAGCAGCCGCGGGAAUACGUAGGUGGCAAGCGUUGUCCGGAAUUAUUGGGCGUAAAGGGCUCGCAGGCGGUUUCUUAAGUCUGAUGUGAAAGCCCCCGGCUCAACCGGGGAGGGUCAUUGGAAACUGGGAAACUUGAGUGCAGAAGAGGAGAGUGAAAUUCCACGUGUAGCGGUGAAAUGCGUAGAGAUGUGGAGGAACACCAGUGGCGAAGGCGACUCUCUGGUCUGUAACUGACGCUGAGGAGCGAAAGCGUGGGGAGCGAACAGGAUUAGAUACCCCCGUAGUCCCUGUCUCUUAUAC